rnacentral:rRNA from 1 species
CGAAUGCUGACAUAAGUAACGAUAAAGCGGGUGAAAAGCCCGCUCGCCGGAAGACCAAGGGUUCCUGUCCAACGUUAAUCGGGGCAGGGUGAGUCGACCCCUAAGGCGAGGCCGAAAGGCGUAGUCGAUGGGAAACAGGUUAAUAUUCCUGUACUUGGUGUUACUGCGAAGGGGGGACGGAGAAGGCUAUGUUGGCCGGGCGACGGUUGUCCCGGUUUAAGCGUGUAGGCUGGUUUUCCAGGCAAAUCCGGAAAAUCAAGGCUGAGGCGUGAUGACGAGGCACUACGGUGCUGAAGCAACAAAUGCCCUGCUUCCAGGAAAAGCCUCUAAGCAUCAGGUAACAUCAAAUCGUACCCCAAACCGACACAGGUGGUCAGGUAGAGAAUACCAAGGCGCUUGAGAGAACUCGGGUGAAGGAACUAGGCAAAAUGGUGCCGUAACUUCGGGAGAAGGCACGCUGAUAUGUAGGUGAAGCGACUUGCUCGUGGAGCUGAAAUCAGUCGAAGAUACCAGCUGGCUGCAACUGUUUAUUAAAAACACAGCACUGUGCAAACACGAAAGUGGACGUAUACGGUGUGACGCCUGCCCGGUGCCGGAAGGUUAAUUGAUGGGGUUAGCGGUAACGCGAAGCUCUUGAUCGAAGCCCCGGUAAACGGCGGCCGUAACUAUAACGGUCCUAAGGUAGCGAAAUUCCUUGUCGGGUAAGUUCCGACCUGCACGAAUGGCGUAAUGAUGGCCAGGCUGUCUCCACCCGAGACUCAGUGAAAUUGAACUCGCUGUGAAGAUGCAGUGUACCCGCGGCAAGACGGAAAGACCCCGUGAACCUUUACUAUAGCUUGACACUGAACAUUGAGCCUUGAUGUGUAGGAUAGGUGGGAGGCUUUGAAGUGUGGACGCCAGUCUGCAUGGAGCCGACCUUGAAAUACCACCCUUUAAUGUUUGAUGUUCUAACGUUGGCCCGUUAUCCGGGUUGCGGACAGUGUCUGGUGGGUAGUUUGACUGGGGCGGUCUCCUCCUAAAGAGUAACGGAGGAGCACGAAGGUUGGCUAAUCCUGGUCGGACAUCAGGAGGUUAGUGCAAUGGCAUAAGCCAGCUUGACUGCGAGCGUGACGGCGCGAGCAGGUGCGAAAGCAGGUCAUAGUGAUCCGGUGGUUCUGAAUGGAAGGGCCAUCGCUCAACGGAUAAAAGGUACUCCGGGGAUAACAGGCUGAUACCGCCCAAGAGUUCAUAUCGACGGCGGUGUUUGGCACCUCGAUGUCGGCUCAUCACAUCCUGGGGCUGAAGUAGGUCCCAAGGGUAUGGCUGUUCGCCAUUUAAAGUGGUACGCGAGCUGGGUUUAGAACGUCGUGAGACAGUUCGGUCCCUAUCUGCCGUGGGCGCUGGAGAACUGAGGGGGGCUGCUCCUAGUACGAGAGGACCGGAGUGGACGCAUCACUGGUGUUCGGGUUGUCAUGCCAAUGGCACUGCCCGGUAGCUAAAUGCGGAAGAGAUAAGUGCUGAAAGCAUCUAAGCACGAAACUUGCCCCGAGAUGAGUUCUCCCUGACUCCCUGAGAGUCCUGAAGGAACGUUGAAGACGACGACGUUGAUAGGCCGGGUGUGUAAGCGCAGCGAUGCGUUGAGCUAACCGGUACUAAUGAACCGUGAGGCUUAACCUU